rnacentral:rRNA from 1 species
CUUGGUCAUUUAGAGGAAGUAAAAGUCGUAACAAGGUUUCCGUAGGUGAACCUGCGGAAGGAUCAUUAAAGAGACGUUGCCCUUCGGGGUAUACCUCCCACCCUUUGUUUAUUUAUACCUUUGUUGCUUUGGCAGACCCGGCUUCGGCCCACCGGCUCCGGCUGGUCAGUGUCUGCCAGAGGACCUAAAACUCUGUUUGUUAAUAUUGUCUGAGUACUAUAUAAUAGUUAAAACUUUCAACAACGGAUCUCUUGGUUCUGGCAUCGAUGAAGAACGCAGCGAAAUGCGAUAAGUAAUGUGAAUUGCAGAAUUCAGUGAAUCAUCGAAUCUUUGAACGCACAUUGCGCCCUCUGGUAUUCCGGGGGGCAUGCCUGUUCGAGCGUCAUUACAACCCUCAAGCUUUGCUUGGUAUUGGACAUUGCCAGUUUCUGGCAGGUCUUAAAAUCAGUGGCGGUGCCAUUUGGCUUCAAGCGUAGUAAUUCUUCUCGCUUUGGAGAUCCAGGUGGUUACUUGCCAAUAACCCUUAAUUUUUUCAGAUUGACCUCGGAUCAGGUAGGGAUACCCGCUGAACUUAAGCAUAUCAAUAAGCGGAGGA